GAGAACAUCACGUGCUUUCACGAUUAUCCUUUGGUACUGUACCUCAUACUAUGCUCCAAGGAGAGCACUUCUGGAGUGAGCGCCUGCAUGACAAUGGAAAACUACCAGCAGGAGGGCAAGAGAGGCCACAGUCAAAAGUAAAGCAGCAAGAGUUCACUUAUUUCUCCAUUCACUCAGGAGCUCAAGAAUGAAGAAACCAUGCACUGAUAAUCCGAACCUGGAUAGAUGAAUUCUAGACAGCAACUUGUGUACUCCCCUCACAGCCACAGAGAGCAGAAAAGACCCACUGUUGGAGAGGGGUUCAUCUGUCACUUGAGGGGCAGCAGCAAUUUAUCAGUUCCUGUGCCAGAUGUUUACAUAAUAUCAAGUCUUCACAACAGUCCUACAGAGGCCCUAUUUCACUCCAGGCAAAACCAAGGCUCAGAGGCUUAGGAACUGCCCAAGGUCAGAUAGUUAGUAGACGCAAUGAGAAUUAUAAGAGUAAUCCUUUAUGUCACAAGGGAAUUCCAGAAUUCCUGUAAUGUUAUUUUAAGUGGAAUGUGUGAAAUGCCAGUAAAUAAACAACAACAAUUCUGGUGUUAAAUUGAAGAAACAAAAGAAUCUUUAAGAACAAUGUAGUUAAGAGACUCAAACUAGAAAGAAUUUACCAUCCUUUCUGAAUGUUGCUCCAACUUAUAGUCUAAUAUAAAAACUCAUAAGAAAUGAGUAGUAGAGAUGCUUAAAUUCUCUAUCUAGUCUACAAUACCAUGCAUCUAGAAACGACACAAUUUGAUUUUUAAAAUCUUCAAGGCUUCAUAAUUAAGAGACCAUAAUUAAAAUUAGAAUACUCAAAUAAGUUUAUUAAUUGUCAGUCUUUUCUCUAUAUCCUGCCUUCAGAAUUAUACGAUUUUAUUUAACCAUUUGCAGGAUUCCUUUCAUCUCAGGAGAGUAUAAUCAUAUAAUCAGACUCAUCACCACUGUUCCCUUUUAAUUGUAAAUCAUGACUGCGCUUGCAAAUUAGUCUAUUAUCACAGCAGAUUAUCAAUUUGGUAGGGAAAGUAUUUGCCAUCUAGAAUGAAAGUAGUUAAUAAACAUUAAUAAACAUCUUAAAUCAAUCACUCCUUUACUCUUGGUGUGCCGACAGAUGUCAUUUGAGAUUAAUAAAUCAGUCAGAACAAAUAAAGUGAUGAGGAAGCGAAGCACAAGGAAGCCUCUCGAUGCCCUGUGUACUUAAGAAUCACAAUGCCUAAAAACUAAUUGGAAGAUAAAGAUAAGGCAUUAAACCUUCAGAGAAAUGACUUGUUGGAAAUUAGACAAAGUAAAUCCAGAUAGCCAUUCUCUGUGGGUCUGUUAUGAACCACUGGCAAUAAAAGCUAGAGGAGAAACAAAAUGCUCAGUCAGAAUAAAUUAUGUUUAUUGACAGCAUAAUGUAGAGGUUAAAAGCAUGGACUUUCUUUUUUCUUUUUCUUUUUUUUUUUUUUUUUGAGACGGAGUUUAGCUCUUGUUGCCCAGGCUGGAGUGUGCAAUGGCUUGAUCUCGGCUCACUGCAACCUCUGCCUCCCAGGUUCAAGCGAUUCUUCUGCCUGACCCUCCUGAGUAGCUGGGAUUACAGGCAAAGGCCACCAUGCCCAGCUAAUUUUGUAUUUUUAGUACGGAUGGGGUUUCUCUAUGUUGGUCAGGCUGGUCUCGAACUCCCGACCUCAAAUGAUCUGCUCGCCUCAGCCUCCCAAAGUGCUGGGACUACAGGCGUGAGCCACCGCACCUGGCCAAAAGCAUGGACUUUCUAAUUGGCCUGCUUGGGUUUGAAUCCAGGGCCCACAACUUCCGUUUCAGUGACUUAACUAUUUCUUAAUUUUGCUGUGCCUCAAUAUCCUUAUGGGUAAAAUGGGAGAGUAAAGUACCUAUCUCAUAAAGUUGUUGUAAGGAUUAAAUGAAUCAAUAUUUUGUUAAGAGUUUAAAACAGCACCUGGCAUAUAACAAGCACUGAGUGAUUGUUCAAUAACUAAAUGAUAUAAUUGGCCAUUUACUACCAUUUUAUGUGCUCUAGUUCUUUCUCUGCACAGGCUUUUAUGAGGGAGAAUUGGGGUUGUGAAGUAAUCCCACAAUAUUUUAAUCACUUCCUCACUAUAAGCCAAGAGUUGAAUUAAUUCAUUUUGUAAAAAUAAUUAAAAUUUAAUUAAUUCUAUUAAAAAGAAAAAAACACAAAUUUUUCAUUUAAAAAUAAGAUUACUGAGGCAAAAUGUUAACAGUACAAAUAGACUGUUGUUGUAUAGUCCAGUCAUUAAUUAAAGGCAUCCAGAUAUCAAUACCUUGUGUAUUAACACAAGACUUUUGUAUAAAGAUGUUUACCAGAAGCCCAUCAGGAGUGUUCCACUUUUAGUUAUGGCACAAAACGUUAUCCACUAGCAUCAUCAACAACUCCUCUAUAUCUCACCUAGGACUAGUCCCAAGAAAAAGAAUGAGUAGGGAAACCAAAUACAUUAUUUGCAUAUUUAACAGCAUGUCCAAUUAGCCACUUUGCUGACAGAGACUAAUUUAUUAUUCAUCUUAUUCCAGCAUAUGUUACUACUUUGACAUCCACGUGACAAAUGACUGAUACAGCACAUUGUGAUUUUGAAAAUGUUAACUGUGGACUUCAAGAAAAUGUAGCUUAGACUAUUGA
rnacentral:lncRNA from 1 species